GACGAACGCUGGCGGCGUGCCUAAUACAUGCAAGUCGAACGAACUCUGGUAUUGAUUGGUGCUUGCAUCAUGAUUUACAUUUGAGUGAGUGGCGAACUGGUGAGUAACACGUGGGAAACCUGCCCAGAAGCGGGGGAUAACACCUGGAAACAGAUGCUAAUACCGCAUAACAACUUGGACCGCAUGGUCCGAGCUUGAAAGAUGGCUUCGGCUAUCACUUUUGGAUGGUCCCGCGGCGUAUUAGCUAGAUGGUGGGGUAACGGCUCACCAUGGCAAUGAUACGUAGCCGACCUGAGAGGGUAAUCGGCCACAUUGAGACUGAGACACGGCCCAAACUCCUACGGGAGGCAGCAGUAGGGAAUCUUCCACAAUGGACGAAAGUCUGAUGGAGCAACGCCGCGUGAGUGAAGAAGGGUUUCGGCUCGUAAAACUCUGUUGUUAAAGAAGAACAUAUCUGAGAGUAACUGUUCAGGUAUUGACGGUAUUUAACCAGAAAGCCACGGCUAACUACGUGCCAGCAGCCGCGGUAAUACGUAGGUGGCAAGCGUUGUCCGGAUUUAUUGGGCGUAAAGCGAGCGCAGGCGGUUUUUUAAGUCUGAUGUGAAAGCCUUCGGCUCAACCGAAGAAGUGCAUCGGAAACUGGGAAACUUGAGUGCAGAAGAGGACAGUGGAACUCCAUGGGUAGCGGUGAAAUGCGUAGAUAUAUGGAAGACCACCAGUGGCGAAGGCGGCUGUCUGGUCUGUAACUGACGCUGAGGCUCGAAAGUAUGGGUAGCAAACAGGAUUAGAUACCCUGGUAGUCCAUACCGUAAACGAUGAAUGCUAAGUGUUGGAGGGUUUCCGCCCUUCAGUGCUGCAGCUAACGCAUUAAGCAUUCCGCCUGGGGAGUACGGCCGCAAGGCUGAAACUCAAAGGAAUUGACGGGGGCCCGCACAAGCGGUGGAGCAUGUGGUUUAAUUCGAAGCUACGCGAAGAACCUUACCAGGUCUUGACAUACUAUGCAAAUCUAAGAGAUUAGACGUUCCCUUCGGGGACAUGGAUACAGGUGGUGCAUGGUUGUCGUCAGCUCGUGUCGUGAGAUGUUGGGUUAAGUCCCGCAACGAGCGCAACCCUUAUUAUCAGUUGCCAGCAUUAAGUUGGGCACUCUGGUGAGACUGCCGGUGACAAACCGGAGGAAGGUGGGGAUGACGUCAAAUCAUCAUGCCCCUUAUGACCUGGGCUACACACGUGCUACAAUGGAUGGUACAACGAGUUGCGAACUCGCGAGAGUAAGCUAAUCUCUUAAAGCCAUUCUCAGUUCGGAUUGUAGGCUGCAACUCGCCUACAUGAAGUCGGAAUCGCUAGUAAUCGCGGAUCAGCAUGCCGCGGUGAAUACGUUCCCGGGCCUUGUACACACCGCCCGUCACACCAUGAGAGUUUGUAACACCCAAAGUCGGUGGGGUAACCUUUUAGGAACCAGCCGCCUAAGGUGGGACAGAUGAUUAGGGUG
rnacentral:rRNA from 1 species